UGCGAACGUUAUUCGGAAUCACUGGGCUUAAAGGGUGCGUAGGCUGCGAGGAGGGUGGGGUGUGAAAUCCCUCGGCUUAACCGAGGAAUUGCGCUCCAAACCGCCUUGCUGGAGUGAGACAGAGGUGAGCGGAACUAAUGGUGGAGCGGUGAAAUGCGUUGAUAUCAUUAGGAACACCAGAGGCGAAGGCGGCUCACUGGGUCUCAACUGACGCUGAUGCACGAAAGCUAGGGUAGCGAACGGG
rnacentral:rRNA from 1 species